CAAGCCAUACAACGAGUGACUGCUCUAGUUGACCAGCUCGACUUCAUUAUUUACAUGAUUAUUAAAAUGGAACAUUUUCGACGACACCGAGGCCACCGCAGGUAAGUGGGGGAAUCCCACCCAGACCAACCCUUUUCCCUGACAAGAGACUGAAAAGAUGGAAUGCAGCACAACAUGUUCUCAGUGUAGUGUAUGGUUGACUUUACACUGUGUAGUGUAUGGUUGACUUUACACUGACAUAUUUAAUACUUGUGCUUUGAUUGUCAACUCGUUCUGCAAUACGAUGUUCCAGUCACGUGUCGUACAAUACCCGUAACUUGCUGAAUAAACACUGUAAGCCAA